rnacentral:rRNA from 1 species
UGGCUCAGAUUGAACGCUGGCGGCAGGCUUAACACAUGCAAGUCGAGCGCGAAAGGUCUUCUGACUGAGUAGAGCGGCGGACGGGUGAGUAACGCGUGGGAAAUUGCCCAGUAGUGGGGGACAACAUUCGGAAACGGAUGCUAAUACCGCAUACGCCCUACGGGGGAAAGCAGGGGAUCUUCGGACCUUGUGCUAUUGGAUAUGCCCGCGUCGGAUUAGCUAGUUGGUGAGGUAAGGGCUCACCAAGGCGACGAUCCGUAGCUGGUCUGAGAGGAUGAUCAGCCACACUGGGACUGAGACACGGCCCAGAUUCCUACGGGAGGCAGCAGUGGGGAAUAUUGGACAAUGGGCGCAAGCCUGAUCCAGCCAUGCCGCGUGUGUGAAGAAGGCCUUACGGGUUGUAAAGCACUUUCAGUAGGGAGGAAGGCCCUAAGACUAAUACUCUUGGGGAUUGACGUACCACAGAAGAAG